CCUACGGGAGGCAGCAGUGGUGAAUAUUGGGCAAUGGGCGCAAGCCUGACCCAGCGACGCCGCGUGAAGGAAGAAGGCUUUCGGGUUGUAAACUUCUUUUAAGAGGGAAGAGCAGAAGACGGUACCUCUUGAAUAAGCCACGGCUAACUACGUGCCAGCAGCCGCGGUAAUACGUAGGUGGCAAGCGUUGUCCGGAUGUACUGGGUGUAAAGGGCGUGUAGCCGGGCUGACAAGUCAGAUGUGAAAUCCCGUGGCUCAACCAUGGAACUGCAUUUGAAACUGUCGGUCUUGAGUAUCGGAGAGGCAGGCGGAAUUCCUAGUGUAGCGGUGAAAUGCGUAGAUAUUAGGAGGAACACCAGUGGCGAAGGCGGCCUGCUGGACGACAACUGACGGUGAGGCGCGAAAGCGUGGGGAGCAAACAGGAUUAGAUACCCUAGUAGUC
rnacentral:rRNA from 1 species